rnacentral:rRNA from 1 species
ACGCCCUAAACGAUGUCGACUAGUUGUCGGGGAUUUACAUCCUCGGUAACGCAGCUAACGCGUGAAGUCGACCGCCUGGGGAGUACGGUCGCAAGAUUAAAACUCAAAGGAAUUGACGGGGACCCGCACAAGCGGUGGAUGAUGUGGAUUAAUUCGAUGCAACGCGAAAAACCUUACCUACCCUUGACAUGCCCGGAAGCUCGCAGAGAUGUGAGCGUGCCCGAAAGGGAGCCGGGACACAGGUGCUGCAUGGCUGUCGUCAGCUCGUGUCGUGAGAUGUUGGGUUAAGUCCCGCAACGAGCGCAACCCUUGUCACUAGUUGCUACGAAAGGGCACUCUAGUGAGACUGCCGGUGACAAACCGGAGGAAGGUGGGGAUGACGUCAAGUCCUCAUGGCCCUUAUGGGUAGGGCUUCACACGUCAUACAAUGGUACAUACAGAGGGCCGCCAACCCGCGAGGGGGAGCUAAUCCCAGAAAGUGUAUCGUAGUCCGGAUCGCAGUCUGCAACUCGACUGCGUGAAGUUGGGAUCGCUAGUAAUCGCGGAUCAGCAUGUCGCGGUGAAUACGUUCCCGGGUCUUGUACACACCGCCCGUC